rfam:Gossypium hirsutum cultivar TM-1 unplaced genomic scaffold scaffold1231.1, whole genome shotgun sequence
UGUUAAAAAUUUUAUCCAUUUCUAUUGUUAAAAAACGGCAUGGCUAAUAAAAUAACCAAACAGUUACACGUAGCAUCCACCUGUACCUUUUUCUAAGGUACAAUGACCAAUAUUUUUAAUAAUAAAAAUAGAUGAGAUUUUUAACA